rnacentral:rRNA from 1 species
CAGUAGCCGCGGUAAUACGAAGGGGGCUAGCGUUGCUCGGAAUCACUGGGCGUAAAGGGUGCGUAGGCGGGUCUUUAAGUCAGGGGUGAAAUCCUGGAGCUCAACUCCAGAACUGCCUUUGAUACUGAAGAUCUUGAGUUCGGGAGAGGUGAGUGGAACUGCGAGUGUAGAGGUGAAAUUCGUAGAUAUUCGCAAGAACACCAGUGGCGAAGGCGGCUCACUGGCCCGAUACUGACGCUGAGGCACGAAAGCGUGGGGAGCAAACAGGAUUAGAUACCCCCGUAGUCCCUGUCUCUUAUAC